rnacentral:rRNA from 1 species
UGAACGCUGGCGGCAGGCCUAACACAUGCAGGUCGAACGGCAGCACAGGAGAGCUUGCUCUCUGGGUGGCGAGUGGCGGACGGGUGAGGAAUAUAUCGGAAUCUACCCUUUCGUGGGGGAUAACGUAGGGAAACUUACGCUAAUACCGCAUACGAACUGAGGUUGAAAGCGGCGGACCGCAAGGCGUCGCGCGGAUGGAUGAGCCGAUAUCGGAUUAGCUAGUUGGUGGGGUAAAGGCUCACCAAGGCGACGAUCCGUAGCUGGUUUGAGAGGACGACCAGCCACACUGGGACUGAGACACGGCCCAGACUCCUACGGGAGGCAGCAGUGGGGAAUUUUCCGCAAUGGGCGAAAGCCUGACGGAGCAAUACCGCGUGAGGGACGACUGCCUAUGGGUUGUAAACCUCUUUUUUCAGGGAGGAAGCAAUGACGUGUACCUGAAGAAUAAGCAUCGGCUAACUCCGUGCCAGCAG